CGUAAAGCGAACGGCAGAGAAAGGGAGAGAGAAAGAGAGAAAGAGAGAAAGAGAGAGAGAGAGAGAGGCCGGAAGUGCAGUGGUCUCUUCCUCGUCGACGGCAACCGACGCAAGGUGGCAGCGACGAGCUUUGGACUCCAGCGAUGUUGCGAACUUCGAAAUCAGUCGGUGACGCGACUCAACCUCCACCUCCGGCGAGGCAGCUUGGCGUGGUGGUGGUGGCCGGCAGUAGGAUGGCAGUGCGUAGUGACCGGUGGUGGUUGGCGUCCUCGACGGUGGCCGUUUCUUCUUCCGUCGACGGCGAGCAGACUGGCGAUGGUGGUGCUGUUGACGUGGGUUGAUGGUGAUGAUCAUUUCGUAAUAUUAAUAAAAAAAAUGAGAUAAAGAUUAGUUUAUAAUAUGCAAUGGGGAUGGUCCCCUAUCAACUUGGCUAUGAUGCUAUGGAUAGGAACCUACGCUUCAAGGUUAAUUUUGCAGGUGAUGAUUGCAUGAAAAUUUGGAGCAUUGAGCAUGAGAGCGACUCGUUUUAUUAGAUUAAAUGUAUUGGAUUUUCUUGUAAUUAUUAAAGAAUUUUAGAACUUGUUCUAGAAUUUUUAGUACUUGAUUUAUUAUAAUGUGUUUAGAGAUGGGGUUAUAAUUAUAGUGGUUUUAGCCUGUGCGUUUGAGUAUGAGAUACUCGAACGUGGCAUGACACCCUUUUUCCUUUCUUGUUGUAGAAAGCUUCCGCUAUUGUAAAAGUUAUUUGUAAAUAAUAAAAAAAUUACCCGCAUUUUCUUAAGUGGAAAAAGUGGGGUGUUACAGAA